rnacentral:rRNA from 1 species
AGUGAACGCUGGCGGUAGGCCUAACACAUGCAAGUCGAACGGCAGCACAGUAAGAGCUUGCUCCUACGGGUGGCGAGUGGCGGACGGGUGAGGAAUACAUCGGAAUCUACUUUUUCGUGGGGGAUAACGUAGGGAAACUUACGCUAAUACCGCAUACGACCUACGGGUGAAAGCAGGGGAUCUUCGGACCUUGCGCGAUUGAAUGAGCCGAUGUCGGAUUAGCUAGUUGGCGGGGUAAAGGCCCACCAAGGCGACGAUCCGUAGCUGGUCUGAGAGGAUGAUCAGCCACACUGGAACUGAGACACGGUCCAGACUCCUACGGGAGGCAGCAGUGGGGAAUAUUGGACAAUGGGCGCAAGCCUGAUCCAGCCAUACCGCGUGAGUGAAGAAGGCCUUCGGGUUGUAAAGCCCUUUUGUUGGGAAAGAAAAGCAGCAGGUUAAUACCCCGCUGUUCUGACGGUACCCAAAGAAUAAGCACCGGCUAACUUCGUG